rnacentral:lncRNA from 1 species
AAAAACACAAGCAUCUAGAAAGUGAGGGGGUUAGGCUCAGAUCUGUGUAUGAUCGGGCGAAAACCCGACUCCGCCGCCGUGGCUGCAACAACAGGGUUGCAACGCCAGGAAACGGGUCAGAUUCUCCAGGCCCGAAAUCGUCACAGCCUACUUCGGCCCCCGUUGGUAAUGCUUAAAAGCACAAGCAUCUAGAGAAGAGAGAGGGGGGGGGGGGGGGGGGGGUAGGCUCAGAUAGGUGUAUGAUGGGCGACAACCAGACUCCGCCGCCAUGGCAUGCAACAACAGGGUUGCCCCCCCAGGAACGGGUGCGUCGGAUCCUCCAGGCCCGAACCAUCAGUGCUCAGAAAUCCAUCGUUCACAGCCUAUUUAGUACUGGGAAGGGUGAGUACGUACUGAAAA